rnacentral:tRNA from 1 species
GUCCCGUUAGCACAGCGGUGGUGCGUUCGACUGUUAAUCGAGAGGUCGCAGGUUCGAAUCCUGCACGGGACG